UACGAAGGGGGCUAGCGUUGCUCGGAAUCACUGGGCGUAAAGCGCACGUAGGCGGAUUGCUAAGUCAGGGGUGAAAUCCUGGAGCUCAACUCCAGAACUGCCUUUGAUACUGGCGAUCUCGAGUCCGGGAGAGGUGAGUGGAACUGCGAGUGUAGAGGUGAAAUUCGUAGAUAUUCGCAAGAACACCAGUGGCGAAGGCGGCUCACUGGCCCGUUACUGACGCUGAGGCACGAAAGCGUGGGGAGCAAACAGG
rnacentral:rRNA from 1 species